rnacentral:rRNA from 1 species
AGCAGCCGCGGUAAUUCCAGCUCCAAUAGCGUAUAUUAAAGUUGUUGCAGUUAAAAAGCUCGUAGUUGAAUUUCGGGAUCAUUAGGUUGGUCGUGCCUCUGGUAUGUACUGAUCUCGGUGGUUCCUACUUCUUGAAGAACCGUAAUGCCAUUAAUUUGGUGUUGCGGGGAAACAGGACUGUUACUUUGAAAAAAUUAGAGUGUUUAAAGCAGGCAAUCGCUUGAAUACACUAGCAUGGAAUAAUGAAAUAGGACGUUCGAUCCUAUUUUGUUGGUUUCUAGGAUUGACGUAAUGAUUAAUAGGGAUAGUUGGGGGCAUUAGUAUUCAAUUGUCAGAGGUGAGAUUCUUGGAUUUAUUGAAGACUAACUACUGCGAAAGCAUUUGCCAAGGAUGUUUUCAUUAAUCAAGAACGAAAGUUAGGGGAUCGAAGACGAUCAGAUACCGUCGUAGUCUUAACCAUAAACUAUGCCGACUAGGGAUCGGAUGAUGUUAAUUUUUAA